ACGAAACCGGAGGAAGGUGGGGAUGACGUCAAGUCCUCAUGGCCCUUAUGGGUAGGGCUUCACACGUCAUACAAUGGUCGGUACAGAGGGUUGCCAACCCGCGAGGGGGAGCUAAUCCCACAAAGCCGAUCGUAGUCCGGAUCGCAGUCUGCAACUCGACUGCGUGAAGUCGGAAUCGCUAGUAAUCGUGGAUCAGCAUGUCACGGUGAAUACGUUCCCGGGUCUU
rnacentral:rRNA from 1 species